UACGGGGGGGGCAAGCGUUGUUCGGAAUUACUGGGCGUAAAGGGCUCGUAGGCGGCCAACUAAGUCAGACGUGAAAUCCCCAGGCUCAACCUGGGAACUGCCUUCGAUACUGGCGAUCUCGAGUUCGGGAGAGGUGAGUGGAACUGCGAGUGUAGAGGUGAAAUGCGUAGAGAUCGGGAGGAACAUCAGUUGCGAAGGCGGCUCUCUGGACCAGCACUGACACUGAGGCACGAAAGCGUGGGGAGCAAACGGG
rnacentral:rRNA from 1 species